CAGUCGCCACGGGAACACGGAGGGUGCAAGCGUUAAUCGGAAUUACUGGGCGUAAAGCGCACGCAGGCGGUCUGUCAAGUCAGAUGUGAAAUCCCCGGGCUUAACCUGGGAACUGCAUUUGAAACUGGCAGGCUAGAGUCUUGUAGAGGGGGGUAGAAUUCCAGGUGUAGCGGUGAAAUGCGUAGAGAUCUGGAGGAAUACCGGUGGCGAAGGCGGCCCCCUGGACAAAGACUGACGCUCAGGUGCGAAAGCGUGGGGAGCAAACAGGAUUAGAUACCCGAGUAGUCCCUGUCUCUUAUCC
rnacentral:rRNA from 1 species